rnacentral:misc_RNA from 1 species
AGCAGCCGCGGUAAUUCCAGCUCCAAUAGCGUAUAUUAAAGUUGUUGCAGUUAAAAAGCUCGUAGUUGAAUUUCGGGGUUAGUAGGUUGGUCAUGCCUCUGGUAUGUACUGGUCUCACUGAUUCCUCCUUCCUGAUGAGCCGUAAUGCCAUUAAUUUGGUGUUGCGGGGAAUUUGGACUGUUACUUUGAAAAAAUUAGAGUGUUUAAAGCAAGCUAACGCUUGAAUACAUUAGCAUGGAAUAAUGAAAUAGGACGUUCGAUCCUAUUUUGUUGGUUUCUAGGAUUGACGUAAUGAUUAAUAGGGAUAGUUGGGGGCAUUAGUAUUCAAUUGUCAGAGGUGAAAUUCUUGGAUUUAUUGAAGACUAACUACUGCGAAAGCAUUUGCCAAGGAUGUUUUCAUUAAUCAAAGAACGAAAGUUAGGGGAUCGAAGACGAUCAGAUACCGUCGUAGUCUUAACCAUAAACUAUGCCGACUAGGGAUCGGAUGAUGUUAAUUUUUUAAUGACUCAUUCGGCGCCUU